rnacentral:rRNA from 1 species
GACGAACGCUGGCGGCGUGCUUAACACAUGCAAGUCGAACGGAAAGGCCCUGCUUUUGUGGGGUGCUCGAGUGGCGAACGGGUGAGUAACACGUGAGUAACCUGCCCUUGACUUUGGGAUAACUUCAGGAAACUGGGGCUAAUACCGGAUAGGAGCUCCUGCUGCAUGGUGGGGGUUGGAAAGUUUCGGCGGUUGGGGAUGGACUCGCGGCUUAUCAGCUUGUUGGUGGGGUAGUGGCUUACCAAGGCUUUGACGGGUAGCCGGCCUGAGAGGGUGACCGGCCACAUUGGGACUGAGAUACGGCCCAGACUCCUACGGGAGGCAGCAGUGGGGAAUAUUGCACAAUGGGCGGAAGCCUGAUGGAGCAACGCCGCGUGCGGGAUGACGGCCUUCGGGUUGUAAACCGCUUUCGCCUGUGACGCAGCGUGAGUGACGGUAAUGGGGAGAGAAGCACCGGCUAACUACGU